UACGGGGGGGGCAAGCGUUGUUCGGAAUUACUGGGCGUAAAGGGCUCGUAGGCGGCCAACUAAGUCGGACGUGAAAUCCCCAGGCUCAACCUGGGAACUGCGUCCGAUACUGGAUGGCUUGAAUCCGGGAGAGGGAUGCAGAAUUCCAGGUGUAGCGGUGAAAUGCGUAGAUAUCCGGAGGAACACCGGUGGCGAAGGCGGCUUCCUGGACCGAUACUGACGCUGAGGCGCGAAAGCUAGGGGAGCAAACGGG
rnacentral:rRNA from 1 species